UACAGAGGGGGCAAGCGUUGUUCGGAUUUACUGGGCGUAAAGGGCGCGUAGGCGGCGUGGUAAGUCACUUGUGAAAUCUCUGAGCUUAACUCAGAACGGCCAAGUGAUACUGCUGUGCUCGAGUGUGGAAGGGGCAAUCGGAAUUCUUGGUGUAGCGGUGAAAUGCGUAGAUAUCAAGAGGAACACCUGAGGUGAAGACGGGUUGCUGGGCCAACACUGACGCUGAGGCGCGAAAGCCAGGGGAGCAAACGGG
rnacentral:rRNA from 1 species